rnacentral:rRNA from 1 species
GACGAACGCUGGCGGCGUGCUUAACACAUGCAAGUCGAACGGAAAGGCCCUGCUUUUGUGGGGUGCUCGAGUGGCGAACGGGUGAGUAACACGUGAGUAACCUGCCCUUGACUUUGGGAUAACUUCAGGAAACUGGGGCUAAUACCGGAUAGGAGCUCCUGCUGCAUGGUGGGGGUUGGAAAGUUUCGGCGGUUGGGGAUGGACUCGCGGCUUAUCAGCUUGUUGGUGGGGUAGUGGCUUACCAAGGCUUUGACGGGUAGCCGGCCUGAGAGGGUGACCGGCCACAGUGGGACUGAGAUACGGCCCAGACUCGUACGGGAGGCAGCAGUGGGGAAGAUUGCACAAUGGGCCGAAGCCUGAUGCAGCAACGCCGCGUGCGGGAUGACGGCCUGCGGGUUGUAAACCGCUUUCGCCUGUGACGAAGCGUGAGUGACGGUAAUGGGUAAAGAAGCACCGGCUAACUACGUG